GUCGGGAUAGCUCAGCUGGUAGAGCAAAGGACUGAAAAUCCUCGUGUCACAAGU
rnacentral:tRNA from 1 species